GAAGCUUUGAUUUUACCUGUUUUUAUACACUGAUUUAAGAGAGAUCAACAGCAGUGUAUUAGUCAUAUGUACUCACAGACCACGGGAGAGGGACACCAUGCCAACAGGGUCACAUGGAGCCUGUGCUCAGGAACAGAGUGGAUGACAAGGAUUGUGGGAGGCGAGAUACAGGGGUUAGAGCACAAAUUGUGCAGUGCCCCUUAGCAUUUGAUUUUUACUGAAAGAUGGGAACCCAGAAAAGGGAUGUGGGUAAAAGAAUGGCCUGCUAUUUGACCAACUUUUCUUUUCAUCUCUCGAAGAGCCUAGCAAAGUACCACUACGUGGACAGAGUUACCAUGCAUGUGCUUAGGUAAGAUAAACUAAUAUUUAACAUAAAUUAGAAACCCUUACUAAUUGCUUUCAUGUGUUUUUUUUCUUACUAUAAUUUUUAAAAUUUCACAUAUCAGCAUAAUAAAAUAUCUAUAAACUAAAACAUAAAAUUCUUAAAAUGGACUGUAGUAAGUCAGUUACUGAAAAUAAAACACUGUCAAAAUGUGUUAGUUAAAUGUAAUGUGAGUGUUGCUAUAAAGUUAGUAAUGUUUAAAAAAUAGCACCACACUGAGUAAUCAUCAAAAGUAUUAUACAUUUAGUUUUUAUUCAUGAUUUGCCAAAAUAAAAAUUGG
rnacentral:lncRNA from 1 species